GGCAGUAAUUUACAUUCUUGAAGUAUCAUUGAAAUCCUUGCAACAGAUGUCUUUUCUCCCAAAAUUGAAUAGAUGUGGUUAGAACCAUCCCUGUUCCUUUACUCAGGGCUGUCUGUGGUCAGUGGCAAACAUUUUAAUAUAGAUCCUAAUGGUAGAGACAACAUCGGUUAGUUUUUGUACAGGAUCCUGUCUUCUUAUAUAUUGUUGUAUCUUCAGAAUGAAUUAAUAUGUAAAUCUUAGGCUGUAUAGUAAUCAAUUCAUUCAUUUGACUCAACAAAUAUUUAUUGAGAGCCUACCAUGUGCCAAGUACUAUUUGAGAUAUUUGGAAUACAUUAUUAAGACACUUGUCCUUGAAGAGAUUACAUUUUGGAAGGAGUGGAGGAACAGGCAAUAAACAUAACAAAGUAUAAAUAUUGUCAGAAGAUAUUAAAUUCCACAAGGAAUAAAACGAUAAGUCAGCAGGAUAAGGAGGAUCAGAGGAAGGGAUACAAGCGAGUUGAGAUACAACGACUUGAAGGCGGUGAAAGAGUUGGCCAAGCGAACACCUGGAAAAGGGCACUCCAAGCAGCCACCAGAGAAUAAUUUGGGUCUCAGAUAGUCAAGCAAGGAGGUCAACGUAGCUGAGGGAGAGUGCCGCAGGGGGAAAAUGGUAGGAGAUGAGGUCAGAGGUUAGCAGGUCAGGUCCAGAGGGACUCGGAGACCAUUUAAGAACUUUGGCUCUUACUCUGCAUGGACAUAGGGUGCUGCUAAAGGGCUCUGAGCAGAGGAGUGACAUGAUCCAAAAUUGGGUUUUGGAAGGAAUCCCUCCGGUUGCUGGGCUGAGAAGAGACGGUCAGGAGUGAGGGUAACCUGAGAAAGAGGACUAGGAGGCAAUGGCAGUAAUCCAGGUGAGAGGUAUUUUUCAGAGAUGAAAUCAGCGACCUUGGUUCCCCAUGAGUUAACUUACCGAUGCUAGCUAGCCCAGACUGAAACGACUUUAUACAUAUGCUAAAGAAAUCUAUUUAGAUAGAUGCAGCUCUGCCAAUACAUUUCACCUCGAGAAAUGCUCGGGUAUGCUUUUUAAUUCUUACAUUUUGUGAGCAGGUGGUACAAUGAAUGGACACCAACUUCAAACAAACUCCCAUAAGAACCAUCGGGACUAACUUACCCGAAAGGAACAUUCAAAUUCACAUCAAUCAAUAACAGCUAAUAAUGGCCUCCGUUAAUUUGUUUUAAUUUUGACCGAGUGAUAAUAUUGCCAUCAUUUUUUUUUUUAACAAUCCUUGAUGGAACGGCUACCUCUGUUGACCUCUUGAGUGUAUCUCGUCCCAAAGAGAAUGAUCAACAAAAUCAGUCCUGGAUACACGCUAUACAUUCUGUUAUACCUACUCAUAGCUCAUCUGUGACAUAGCUCCUGAAUUAAAAGCAAAGAAAAAAAAAAACAGGAAGAGAGAGAAUAAAAUAUUUGCUCACAUCUGGGAAGAAUUCAACUAAUUUCUUUAGCUGACUAAGUGACAAUGAUGAGUUAUGGCACAACACUGAUAUAGAUAUCUUCAGGAAUACGAACAUGUAUUGGUCAGCAGCUCUACAACGAUGGUGAUACAUAUUUGUGUAGAACCCACAAUAUAUCCGGUUCUUCAGGAGCACAUGAAGGACUGGCCUGCAUUUAAACAAUCCAUUAUGGGGGCGCCUGGGUGGCUCGGUCAGGGUGCAGUUAGCUGUGAGGUGACAAAUAA